rnacentral:rRNA from 1 species
GACAGAGGUCUCGAGCGUUAGGCGGAAUCACUGGGCGUAAAGCGUGCGCAGGCGGUUUUGCAAGCCGGAUGUGAAAUCCCCGGGCUCAACCUGGGAAUGGCAUUCGGGACUGCAAGGCUGGAGUGCGGCAGAGGAGACUGGAAUUCCUGGUGUAGCAGUGAAAUGCGUAGAUAUCAGGAGGAAUACCGAUGGCGAAGGCAGGUCUCUGGGCUGACACUGACGCUCAUGCACGAAAGCGUGGGGAGCAAACAGG